AUUUAUCGCUAGGGGUGCCAUGCGCUGAGAGGAUUAUUCCGACCCUUAGAACCUGUAGGUUAAUACCUUCGUAGGAAAGCGGAUUCUGUUAAUA
rnacentral:ncRNA from 2 species